CACGUAGGGUGCGAGCGUUGUCCGGAAUUAUUGGGCGUAAAGAGCUCGUAGGCGGUGUGUCGCGUCGGCCGUGAAAACCUGCAGCUUAACUGUGGGCUUGCGGUCGAUACGGGCAUCACUGGAGUUCGGCAGGGGAGAGUGGAAUUCCUGGUGUAGCGGUGAAAUGCGCAGAUAUCAGGAAGAACACCAAUGGCGAAAGCAGCUCUCUGGGACGGUACUGACGCUGAGACGCGAAAGCGUGGGGAGCGAACAGG
rnacentral:rRNA from 1 species